rnacentral:rRNA from 1 species
UACGUAGGGUGCGAGCGUUGUCCGGAAUUAUUGGGCGUAAAGGGCGCGUAGGCGGUUUAUCGCGUCGGGAGUGAAAACCCAGGGCUUAACCCUGGGCUGGCUUCCGAUACGGGCAGACUAGAGGUAUGCAGGGGAGAACGGAAUUCCUGGUGUAGCGGUGAAAUGCGCAGAUAUCAGGAGGAACACCGGUGGCGAAGGCGGUUCUCUGGGCAUUACCUGACGCUCAGGAGCGAAAGUGUGGGGAGCGAACAGG